rnacentral:rRNA from 1 species
UACGAAGGGGGCUAGCGUUGCUCGGAAUCACUGGGCGUAAAGGGUGCGUAGGCGGGUCUUUAAGUCAGGGGUGAAAUCCUGGAGCUCAACUCCAGAACUGCCAUUGAUACUAUUGAUCUUGAAUUCAGUUGAGGUGGGCGGAAUGUGUCGUGUAGCGGUGAAAUGCUUAGAUAUGACACAGAACACCGAUUGCGAAGGCAGCUCGCUAAACUGACAUUGACGCUGAGGCACGAAAGCGUGGGGAUCAAACAGG